GUUGGGUACUCUAUUAAGACUGCCGCUGACAAGGCGGAGGAAGGUGGGGACGACGUCAAGUCAUCAUGGCCCUUACGACCAGGGCUACACACGUGCUACAAUGGGUAUUACAGAGGGCUGCGAAGGUGCGAGCUGGAGCGAAACUCAAAAAGGUACUCUUAGUCCGGAUUGCAGUCUGCAACUCGACUGCAUGAAGUCGGAAUCGCUAGUAAUCGCAGGUCAGAAUACUGCGGUGAAUACGUUCCCGGGUCUUGUA
rnacentral:rRNA from 1 species